rnacentral:rRNA from 1 species
AACCUCCGCAAUGUGAGAAAUCGCGACGGGGGGAUCCCAAGUGCCAUUCUUAACGGGAUGGCUUUUCAUUAGUGUAAAAAGCUUUUGGAAUAAGAGCUGGGCAAGACCGGUGCCAGCCGCCGCGGUAACACCGGCAGCUCUAGUGGUAGCAAUUUUUAUUGGGCCUAAAGCGUCCGUAGCCGGUUUAAUAAGUCUCUGGUGAAAUCCUGUAGCUUAACUGUGGGAAUUGCUGGAGAUACUAUUAGACUUGAGACCGGGAGAGGUUAGAGGUACUCCCAGGGUAGAGGUGAAAUUCUGUAAUCCUGGGAGGACCGCCUGUUGCGAAGGCGUCUAACUGGAACGGUUCUGACGGUGAGGGACGAAAGUUAGGGGCGCGAACCGGAUUAGAUACCCGGGUAGUCCUAACUGUAAACGAUGCGGACUUGGUGUUGGGGUGGCUUUGAGCUGCUCCAGUGCCGAAGGGAAGCUGUUAAGUCCGCCGCCUGGGAAGUACGGUCGCAAGACUAGAAAUUAAAAGGAAA